AUGUAAGUCCGAGAGUGCAACCAUCUAUUUUAAAUUAUAUAUAUAUAUAUAUAUAUAUAUAUAUAUAUAUAUAUAUAUAUAUAUAUAUAUAUAUAUAUAUAUAUAUAUAUUUAAAAUAGAUGGUUGCACUCUCGGACUUACAU